rnacentral:rRNA from 1 species
GAUAAACGCUGGCGGCGUGCAUAACACAUGCAAGUCGAACGAUGAACCUUAUUAGAUUUCUUCGGAAUGAAAUUAAGCGGAUUAGUGGCGAACGGGUGAGUAACACGUGAGUAACCUGCCUUACACAAGGGGAUAGCCUUUGGAAACGAAGAAUAAUACCCUAUAAAGUCAAAAUAUCGCAUGAUAUAGUGACCAAAGAUUUAUCGGUGUAAGAUGGACUUGCGUCUGAUUAGCUAGUUGGUGAGAUAAAAGCCCACCAAGGCGACGAUCAGUAGCCGGCUUGAGAGAGUGUACGGCCACAUUGGGACUGAGACACGGCCCAAACUCCUACGGGAGGCAGCAGUGGGGAAUUUUGCACAAUGGGGGAAACCCUGAUGCAGCGACGCCGCGUGAUUUAGAAGGCCUUCGGGUUGUAAAAAUCUUUUUUAUGGGAUGAAAAUGACAGUACCAUAAGAAUAAGGUCCGGCUAAAUACGUGCCAGCAGCCGCGGUAAUACGUAUGGACCGAGCGUUGUCCGGAAUCAUUGGGCGUAAAGGGUACGUAGGCGGCCUAGUAAGUUAGAAGUGAAAUAAUAUAGCUCAACUAUAUAAAGCUUUUAAAACUGUUAGGCUUGAGAGAUGAAAGGGAAAGUGGAAUUCCUAGUGUAGCGGUGAAAUGCGCAGAUAUUAGGAAGAAUACCGGUGGCGAAGGCGACUUUCUGGUCAUCAUCUGACGCUGAGGUACGAAAGCGUGGGUAGCAAACAGG